GGCGGACGGGUGAGUAAUGUCUGGGAAACUGCCUGAUGGAGGGGGAUAACUACUGGAAACGGUAGCUAAUACCGCAUAACGUCGCAAGACCAAAGAGGGGGACCUUCGGGCCUCUUGCCAUCGGAUGUGCCCAGAUGGGAUUAGCUUGUUGGUGGGGUAACGGCUCACCAAGGCGACGAUCCCUAGCUGGUCUGAGAGGAUGACCAGCCACACUGGAACUGAGACACGGUCCAGACUCCUACGGGAGGCAGCAGUGGGGAAUAUUGCACAAUGGGCGCAAGCCUGAUGCAGCCAUGCCGCGUGUAUGAAGAAGGCCUUCGGGUUGUAAAGUACUUUCAGCGGGGAGGAAGGGAGUAAAGUUAAUACCUUUGCUCAUUGACGUUACCCGCAGAAGAAGCACCGGCUAACUCCGUGCCAGCAGCCGCGGUAAUACGGAGGGUGCAAGCGUUAAUCGGAAUUACUGGGCGUAAAGCGCACGCAGGCGGUUUGUUAAGUCAGAUGUGAAAUCCCCGGGCUCAACCUGGGAACUGCAUCUGAUACUGGCAAGCUUGAGUCUCGUAGAGGGGGGUAGAAUUCCAGGUGUAGCGGUGAAAUGCGUAGAGAUCUGGAGGAAUACCGGUGGCGAAGGCGGCCCCCUGGACGAAGACUGACGCUCAGGUGCGAAAGCGUGGGGAGCAAACAGGAU
rnacentral:rRNA from 1 species